rnacentral:rRNA from 1 species
CACUCCUACGGGAGGCAGCAGUGGGGAAUAUUGGACAAUGGGCGCAAGCCUGAUCCAGCCAUGCCGCGUGAGUGAUGAAGGCCCUAGGGUUGUAAAGCUCUUUCACCGGUGAAGAUAAUGACGGUAACCGGAGAAGAAGCCCCGGCUAACUUCGUGCCAGCAGCCGCGGUAAUACGAAGGGGGCUAGCGUUGUUCGGAUUUACUGGGCGUAAAGCGCACGUAGGCGGACUAUUAAGUCAGGGGUGAAAUCCCGGGGCUCAACCCCGGAACUGCCUUUGAUACUGGUAGUCUUGAGUUCGAGAGAGGUGAGUGGAAUUCCGAGUGUAGAGGUGAAAUUCGUAGAUAUUCGGAGGAACACCAGUGGCGAAGGCGGCUCACUGGCUCGAUACUGACGCUGAGGUGCGAAAGCGUGGGGAGCAAACAGGAUUAGAUACCCCAGUAGUCCCAU